rnacentral:rRNA from 1 species
GACGAACGCUGGCGGCGUGCUUAACACAUGCAAGUCGAGCGGUAAGGCCCUUUCGGGGGUACACGAGCGGCGAACGGGUGAGUAACACGUGGGUGACCUGCCCUCAGCUCUGGGAUAAGCCUGGGAAACCGGGUCUAAUACCGGAUAUGACUCCAUGACGCAUGUUGUGGGGUGGAAAGCCUUGUGCGGCUGAGGAUGGGCCCGCGGCCUAUCAGCUUGUUGGUGGGGUGAUGGCCUACCAAGGCGACGACGGGUAGCCGGCCUGAGAGGGCGACCGGCCACACUGGGACUGAGACACGGCCCAGACUCCUACGGGAGGCAGCAGGUGGGGAAUCUUGCGCAAUGGGCGAAAGCCUGACGCAGCGACGCCGCGUGA